AAGCUCCGGUGGUGGCUCCUAAGGGGUUUCUCUUGUUUCAGAUGCACUUUUUUUUUGCAAUGUUGUGUUUUUUUGGUCUCAAAUUGAAUGCGAGGAGGAGCCCGCCUAGGAUUUUGAGAUA
ensembl:ncRNA M18.11 ncRNA